AGCCCCGUCACCAUGGUGACACAAGCAGCGUCGUAUUCCAUUGGAUACCCCGCUGUUCGGGACCGCCCGCUCACCACGGCAACCGCCAGUGAGUGACAGCGGCGAGGCCACGCCCAUCCAGAGGGGUGUGGAGACAUCAAAACAGGCAAUGCAUGUGUGGAAGAUGCAAGCAUUACUAAAGGCCUGUAAACAACAGACCCAGCGUGCACAGACAGGUCACCUAGCAUGGAUUUGCCUUUGGAGUGCCUGUCUUCAUGCUCUGCUGCCUGCUUUAAAAGAAAGUGUUCCUCUGUUCCUCGCUGAGGUCUUUGGAAGGUUUGAAUGGACUUGUCUGAGGGUUGAUCAGCCAGAAAACGAACAACCAGCCUGGUUGUUGAGUCUUUCAGCGAUCUACAGGAUUCUCUUCAGUCCUGGCUGGCAUUGUUUGCAAAGAAGAAAGCUAUCAGAGGAUCUACACAAGAUUAGAGCUACCAACUGUUCCCUCUGUGGCUUCCUGUUUUGCCGCAGGAAUUCUUUUAGUGUGUGCAAAAAAAAGGGGAAAAAAAAGCGAAAAAGCUCCUUCUGCACAAAUUCAACACAUUAACCCUCUCCUCUCUGGACAAACCCUGUUAAAAACAGAUGGUUGAAUGUCAUGUUUACCUUUGAAUGUAAAACUUGUCUAAUUAAAGUAGAGGUUUAAUCAUUUGUGUAUAAAAAAAACUCCACUUUAUACACUGCUUAUGCACAUUUAAAGACAAAUUUGGAUGUUAAAAUUGCACAUUUUUUCCUAUACUUUCUUUAAAUAAUGUUUGCAUCAUCCGCUUUCUGUCAGUAAAUAUGAUUAAUUUCUAUUUUUUGUUCUUUGCCAAAUCGUUGUUUUUUUAGUGUUGAAUUGCCAAAUAUUUCUUCUCCCUCGUUUUCCUUCUAUCACAUCUUUUAGAAUCCCUUUGAUUCUAUUUCUCUUACAGUUCUACAGCACACCUCCUCUUCCUCCCCCUCUUCUCCCUCCUUCCCAUCUAAAUUGCAAAUGGAAAUUGACUGCCAGGGGAGCUCCUCAAUGUCAUUAAAGCUGGCCCCGUGGAUUAACCAGAAAAGGGGAGGUGGUGUGUAGAAACGACAGAUCGAUAACACUGCUUAUCCGCCGGGUUCCUUUAACUCACUUUGGAUUUAGAUCGGACUAACUCAAAUGUCCAUUCUUGAACUACAAGCAGCAAGGUUGUUAAAAGUGACAAGAGCGGCUGAAAUAGAGCAGAAUAUUGGCUGAAAACUGAAGAAAAACCAGAGUCCCAAUACAAGUAAAUAACCCUUAAUUUAAUAUAUAAAAUAUUCAGUCUGAUUCAUUUGGCUUAAAUUAAAUACCUAGUCCUCUAAGUUGAAGACCAUUUGACUUUGGAAACAUUUUUAAUGUAGAUAUUUAGUGCAACUAAGUAGAAAGCUAACUGUGAGCACAUGGAAAAUAAUUUAAGAAGAAUGAAGUCAUCUGUCAGACUAUGACAUCAAACUUGAGUUUAUAAGUGAUUUAAUUGAUGUGAUGUAAUUUACAUGUACAAAAAACAAGAAUCUAGAAACGUAGAUCUGCAUAAAUACUGGUGUAUCUGUGGAGUUCACAGAAUAAUUCUCUUUUUUGCAUUGAAUCAUAUUUAUCCCGUGUGGAGCAUGCUAGAUUUACUAAAGGACAAAGCUUGUAAAUCCUGAUCUGGAUGGCAUGUUGUGGCUGGAUGCCCUCCACAUAAACAAAAGGCAGCUGACAGUUACAUCAACCAACAGGUAUAAAAAGGUUUGUGCCAAAUCAGCUUUUGCUGGGAUGUUCAGAUGCUUGUAUUGAUGGUUUUAAUGAGCCAUUAUCAGCAUUUUAUAGCUGUGUUGUGUACUUUAAAUCCGUCAAAGGGACAAUAAAACACUCACAGCAUAACACAUAUUUAUGAUUAAAACGCUCUUGUGCAGCAUUUCAGAAAUGAUUGAUUUAGAAUGUAAUGCAACAUGACGUUAAUGGUUUGUUAUUACAAGUGGCAAUGCCUGUUCAUCUGUUCACAAUGUUUAGAAUGAGGAUUCCUUUUUAGAAUUGCUUGAGAAUGUAAUGUGCAGCAGGAAGUGCUACAAAUAAGCCUAUAGUGCCACCUAGUGGGGGAAAAAUAGAUAUUAAUAUUUAUUACCAUAAUAAAUAAUCUGCACUGGGGCUCAUAAAUUAUAAAUACUUCUUCAUAUAUAUCAUGUCUUUUACUUUGGCAACCAUCAAAAUAAUUUAAGAACAUAAUAUAGGUGGGAUUCGAUUGCGUAAAUUGUCAUCUUCCCAUGUCUUUUAAAUCAAAGCUUAUUUGACAAACAUUAGAUUUAAUGUAUUCAGAGACAUAUAUUGUUGUUUUUUUAAAUAUAUUCAUGACUAUGCACCUAUUUCAUGUUGAUUUGCAAUGACUUUUUGUUCACUUAGUUUGUUUUAUUUUUUUAUUUCAUUUAUUUAUAUUUUUAAAUAACACUUUCUGAUUAGGAUGCUUUCUAAAGGAAUUUCUGCCAUCCCUUUGGUUAAUCAUCACACUCUUUUAUAUCUGUUUUUAUAGCAAUGCAUAGACUUUAACGUAUAGUGUAGCCUAUUUCGGAAUAGGUGAUAAAAAGAACAAGUUAAAAUUGGGUUCAAAGCAUUAUAUCAAAGCUAUGGAUUCAGUUAGCUGAACAAGUUACCACACGUAUUCGUAACAUUAUUAAUAACAUUUCUAGAAACAUUUCAAUAACUAAAUUGAAAGUAAGAUUGGUUCUAGAGUCUUUUGUUUUGUGUUACUUUGAUCAUU